CUACGGGGGGCACCAGUGGGGAAUAUUGCACAAUGGGGGAAACCCUGAUGCAGCGACGCCGCGUGAAGGAUGAAGGUCUUCGGAUCGUAAACUUCUAUCAGCAGGGAAGAAACAAAUGACGGUACCUGACUAAGAAGCUCCGGCUAACUACGUGCCAGCAGCCGCGGUAAUACGUAGGGAGCGAGCGUUAUCCGGAUUUACUGGGUGUAAAGGGUGCGUAGGCGGCCUGGUAAGUUAGAAGUGAAAUUUUGGGGCUCAACCCCAGAGCUGCUUCUAAAACUGCUGGGCUAGGGUGCAGGAGAGGAAAGCGGAACUCCACGUGUAGCGGUGAAAUGCGUAGAGAUGUGGAGGAACACCAGUAGCGAAGGCGGCUUUCUGGACUGUAACUGACGCUGAGGCACGAAAGCGUGGGGAGCAAACAGGAUUAGAUACCCCAGUAGUC
rnacentral:rRNA from 1 species